rnacentral:lncRNA from 1 species
UAGGGGAAAACCGGGAGACUUGCUCAGGUGGGAGACUUGAACCACCUCAAAUAUUUCGAUUUAAAUUUCGCGUGACCGGCGCCGUUGACAGCUUGCGUCAUACUCGUACACGAGGCGCGUAUAAUGACGACUCCAGUUUGGCCGGCAUCAGUUCAGUUUUGCAACGAGCGGCGUAAACGUGGUUUCGUGUUAGAAAAGUAAAAAUAUCAACGAUUUUGGAUUUUCGCAUAAAUCAAAAAGUUUUAUAGUGCUAGUGAACGCUGCUUCUGUACCAAGAGAUCAGUUCAGAGUCCAGUUCAGAUCAGCCAGUGUUCCAUCCCCGCAAUACAUUGCAGGGAUGGAACCCGCGACUCUUGGAAAAUUAUGCCGUUUCGAUACAAACCCAAAGAGGGUUAUAACCGCAAGAAGUUUACCAAACAGAACUCCAGAAAAAACUGACAAAGUUGAUGUGUAAUUCAUGCAAAAGAUAUGUUCGUGAAGAUUGCGUUGGGUUGACUGACAAAGACGAAUGUUAAAUGCUUUCUAUGCUGAAUGUUAUUCAAAAGUGUGUGCCUAUUCCUAAUUUUAUCUACUCUGUUAAAUCAUUUGUGUGUUUUAUUAUUAAAUAUUUUCAAUAAAACUGUUGUUUUUUAGUAUUAUCUCUGAUUUAUAUGCAUAUGGUCAAGUCUCCCUCAUCCCCUGAUCAACUCUCCCAGGGGCUGGGGAGACAUGAGCCACAUCUCAUUUUUCAAAAAAAGGAAUUCAGCACCCAAUAUAUUUAUCAUACUGCCAUUCUAUUAAUGUAUAACGAUACCUAUUUAGAUAUAUGCUCUACUUGCAAAAAAUCGAGCCGCUACCACUUACACAUCCAACUUUAAAUAAGUUUAAGUAAAAAGGGGGUCAAGUCUCCCGGACUUCC